rnacentral:lncRNA from 1 species
CCUUCAAAGGUCGUAGAAGCAGAAUCUCACUUUUAUUACUUUGUGCCUUGAAUCUAAGAGAUUUGCAGAGCACGAAUUUUUGACAGCAAAAUUAUUCUCUUUUCCUAAUAGGCUUUUUACUUGGCUUGACUUUGUACUUGUAAGCAGAGAUGCAUUUGGAUUAGUCAGGUCAUCUGGGAAAGAAUAUCUGACAGAUGUACCCUCUAUGAUUCAGAUAUUGUUAUUCCUGAAGGCAUACCAUUUUUUUUUCAUCUUCGCAGGUGCACAUAGGCCAAGACUGUUCUUCCCCAGGGAGUUCCUACAGAGCUGGAUCGAUACUGUGUGCUCCGUUGUUGUUUUCUUGCUCACUCCUGAAGGCAGUUGCUAGAAAAUGGAGCCAGUAGAUGGCUCAGCUCUUACAAACUAAAAAAAGAACUGGAUGUUUCUAGUUCCCCAAGUGAAACAUUCAGUUCUCCCAGAGGAUCAAAGUUUGUUUUGCCUUUGAUAUCAAGGAUCUGUUUCUGUUUCUCUUCUACUUAGGGAC